rnacentral:lncRNA from 1 species
AACAUUUUAUUUCAUUACGUUUCAUUAUAGGAUGAUGAAAACUUUAUUAUAUUAAAAUUAAUUACUAAAGGAAAAUAAAAACUAGUUGGGGGCACGUGACCCCAUUCUUCAUCACUUCCGUCCGCCACUGCUUGUAUAUCACGAUUUACUUUGUGAAAAGAACAUAGAUUUACUAAGCUAGAUCCAUGGCGGCUAGUGGUUCACUGGGUCCUCCACAUCUUCGGAAUACCACACUUCAAAUCUGAUAUUCAUGAUAAUGUAGUGUAGUCUUAACGAGUGCGUAUGUUGCGGCGCGCAUGAAAGACGUCCCAACUUGUAGAUGGGAAAAGGUUCGCCGCCAAUUACAGAUUCAACGUUUAUUAAUUAGAGUUUCCACUAUUAAUAUAGAAGUAAGUAGACUCGUGCUAGUAACCUAGUUUCUACGUAGCUCUAGCAGAUAAUAUUCAUAUUUAUAGGAUCAGCUCAUAAAUACUUCAUUUAAUUUUUCAAAUUAUCUUUUUUUUUUUUUUUUUUUUGUAACUGAAUUUUUCAAAUUAUCUUAACUUUGACGUUUGCGGAAAACCAACAUAUGUUGUAAGAUUCGAGUAUUUUUUUACCAAAUUAAUCAUCCAAGAUGAAGUUACUGAACAAUGAGUAUAGUAUAUGCUAGUGAUUAUUUUGGAAAUUGAAACUAGUAGUGUUUACGGGGACAAUUCAGAGUUGGGUGACGGCAAAUGACAAAUAUUUCAUAUGCUUCAUGAUAUAUAAUUCAGUUAAAAGAUAAGAAUUAAAAAUCAACUUCAUUUUAAAUAUCACUAAAUAUAUAAAUUUAAAAUCAUCAAUAUAAUAAUAAAAAUUUAAAAUAUAAUUGAUUAAUCACCUUUUAAUUAAAUUAAAUGAAUCUAAAAUAUUAAAUUCGAUUUUUACACGCAUUUGAAC